UACGGAGGGAGCUAGCGUUGUUCGAAUAUACUGGGCGUAAAGCGCACGUAGGCGGCACGAUAAGUCAGGGGUGAAAUCCCGGAGCUCAACUCCGGAACUGCCUUUGAAACUGCCGCGCUUGAAUUCUGGAGAGGCGAGUGGAAUUCCGAGUGUAGAGGUGAAAUUCGUAGAUAUUCGGAAGAACACCAGUGGCGAAGGCGACUCGCUGGACAGACAUUGACGCUGAGGUGCGAAAGCGUGGGGAGCAAACAGG
rnacentral:rRNA from 1 species